rnacentral:rRNA from 1 species
UACGUAGGGGGCAAGCGUUGGUCCGGAAUCAUUGGGCGUAAAGCGCGUGUAGGCGGUCCGGUAAGUCCGCUGUAAAAGUCGGGGGCUCAACCCUCGGAUGCCGGUGGAUACUGUCGGGCUUGAGUACGGAAGAGGCGAGUGGAAUUCCUGGUGUAGCGGUGAAAUGCGCAGAUAUCAGGAGGAACACCAAUUGCGAAGGCAGCUCGCUGGGACGUUACUGACACUGAGAGACGAAAGCUAGGGGAGCGAAUGGGG